rnacentral:rRNA from 1 species
UACGGAGGAUGCAAGCGUUAUCCGGAAUGAUUGGGCGUAAAGCGUCCGCAGGUGGCGAUGUAAGUCUGCUGUUAAAGAGUGAGGCUCAACCUCAUAAGAGCAGUGGAAACUACAUAGCUAGAGUACGUUCGGGGCAGAGGGAAUUCCUGGUGUAGCGGUGAAAUGCGUAGAGAUCAGGAAGAACACCGGUGGCGAAAGCGCUCUGCUAGGCCGCAACUGACACUGAGGGACGAAAGCUAGGGGAGCGAAUGGG